rnacentral:rRNA from 1 species
GAUGAACGCUGGCGGCGUGCCUAAUACAUGCAAGUCGAGCGAACAGACGAGGAGCUUGCUCCUCUGACGUUAGCGGCGGACGGGUGAGUAACACGUGGAUAACCUACCUAUAAGACUGGGAUAACUUCGGGAAACCGGAGCUAAUACCGGAUAAUAUAUUGAACCGCAUGGUUCAAUAGUGAAAGACGGUUUUGCUGUCACUUAUAGAUGGAUCCGCGCCGCAUUAGCUAGUUGGUAAGGUAACGGCUUACCAAGGCAACGAUGCGUUGCCGACCUGAGAGGGUGAUCGGCCACACUGGAACUGAGACACGGUCCAGACUCCUACGGGAGGCAGCAGUAGGGAAUCUUCCGCAAUGGGCGAAAGCCUGACGGAGCAACGCCGCGCGAGUGAUGAAGGUCUUCGGAUCGUAAAACUCUGUUAUUAGGGAAGAACAAAUGUGUAAGUAACUAUGCACGUCUUGACGGUACCUAAUCAGAAAGCCACGGCUAACUACGUG